rnacentral:lncRNA from 1 species
GCCAACCUUCUAAGUUGCCUGAAACUGGCUAUGUUUAUAGUCAACCUUUCAAGCCUUCUAAAGAUUAUUAUGUUUAUGGUCAACCUUCCAAGUCAUCUGAAAGCUAUGUCCAUAAUCAACCUUCUAAGUUGCCUGAAACUGGAUAUGUUUAUAGUCAAUCCUUCAAGUCUCCUAAAGAUUAUUAUGUUUAUGGUCAACCUGCCAAGUCAUCUGAAAGCUAUGUCCAUAAUCAACCUGCCAAGUCAUCUGAAAGCUAUGUCCAUAAUCAACCUGCUAAGUUGCCUGAAACUGGAUAUGUUUACAGUCAAUCCUUCAAGUCUCCUAAAGAUUAUUAUGUAUAUGGUCAACCUGCCAAGUCAUCUGAAAGCUAUGUCCAUAAUCAACCUUCUAAGUUGCCUGAAACUGGAUAUGUUUAUAGUCAAUCCUUCAAGCGGCCUUCUGAUGGUCAAACUGAUGGGGAAAAUAUACAUGGAAAAC